rnacentral:tRNA from 1 species
GCCGAAGUGGUCUAAAAGUAAGAUGCGUGCCUGUCACGCACGAGACUCGGGAGCAUUACCCGGCUUCGGCG